AAAAUUAUUCUGUUGGUAGAAUUUGAGAAAAUACAUAUAUUUCAAUAUUUUUCUACAGAGUGAGAAGGCCUACAUCUUACCUAAACCCAGGAAAAGAGGGUAUCAAAACAGUGGCUGAAAAUUGAAAAAUGUUGGGAACUUCUCAUUGUUUUCUCUAUAAAAUAAGCAACCAUGCAUUUGGAAAAUAUGAAUUUUUAAAUAUAGUCAACUCUUGAACAACACAGAGGUUAAGGACACCGAUCCCUGAAUAGCAGAAAAUCCACAUAUAACUUUUGACUCCCCAAAACAUAACUACUAACAGCCUACUAUUGAUUGGAAGCCUUACCAAUACCAAUAACAAUAACCAAUUAACACUUAUUUUGUAUGUUAUAUACUGUUUUCUUACAAAAAAGUAAAGUAGAGAAAAGAAAAUAUUAUUAAGAAAUUCAUAAGGCGGGGAGGUGCCUGGGUGGCUUAAUCAGUUAAGCAUCUGACUCUUGAUCUCAGCUCAGGUCAUGAUCUCAUGGUUCGUGGGACUGAGCCCAGAAUCAGGCUGUGCGCUGACAAUGCAGAGCCUGCUUGGGAUUCUCUCUUCCUCUCUCUCUGCCCAUCCCCUGCUCUUUCAUGCUCUCUCUGUCUCAAAAUAAAUAAAUAAACUGUGAAAAUAAUGAAAAAAAAAUCAUAAGGAAGAGAAAAUAUAUUUACAGUACUGUACAUAUAUUUACUGAAAAAUAUCUGCAUAUAAGUGGACCCUGCAGUUCAAGCAUCCUGUGUUUUUCAAGGAUCAACUGCAUCUUUUCCACUUUGGUUUUAUUUCUCAAUGUUGGGUAUGCAAAGUUUCAGGGUUAACCCCAUGAGAGCACUCAGGAGAACUAUAAACAAUCACAAAGUUGCUUCAACUGUAGGAGAGCAAGUGGAAUCCUGGUUAGCAUACAAAGAGCUCAUGCGAUCUGAUGAACACCAGACCCCUCAGAGUUAGGAAGUGGAAGUAUUCUCGCUCUCCAGAGACACUUUCACACUAUUCCCCUUCAUCCUACACUCUUACGAAAACUUCUCAGGGUGCCUGGUGGCUCAGUUGGUUGAGCAUCCAACUCUUGGUUUUGACUCAGGUCAUGAUCUCAUGUGCUGUCAGUGAGAAGCCUGCUUGGGAUUCUCUCUCUCCCUCUCUCUCUCUCUGCCUCUUCCUCUCUCUCUCUCUCUCUCUCUCUCUCUCUCUCUCUCUCUUUCUCAAAAUGAAUAAAUGAAAAAAACACACACCUCUGCUCUUUGGUUCACACUGUACAGACAUGCCCUACCCACCUUGUAAUAACACUCUGCUGAUCAUCUCUUUGCUUCUUGCUCCCACCAAAUGAAGGAAUUUCCUGUCUACAUGGCUCCCACCAUUACCCUUGAAGAUCUCAUUAUGCAAGGGCAUGACCUACCCAGUAUCUCUACAUCUCAGUUCCUUUACCUCCUGAUUCCUGAUUAUCUCCAUUCCUCCACAGCCACCCUUGGUUACACCCUGCACUUGCUACUGCCAAACAUUCAUCACCUCACAAAUCACAGUUUCAAACAUCCCAUUUCUUAUUCAUGAUCUCACCCCUCCAGCUUUCUCGCUUGGCCUUAUUGAGCUUUUAGAUCCAUGGAUCCUUGCGCCUUGGUUUUUUGGGGUGUUUUGUUUUGUUUUUGUUUGUACUUUUGCCCUCCCUUCCCUCAUACCAGCUUAGAUUCCUGGGCUCAUCAUUAUAAUUACCCUGUUGCAAAUAUGCUAGGUUUACUCAACCUCUUCUUUCAUAGAAUCUACUUACAGGCCCCCAGUCCUGGAUGAACUUCACCAUCCACUUCCCCUGUGUCGAUGCCUGAGCAACUGAGUAUUGUCACAAAAGUCAAAAAACCAAUUCAGAUGGUCCUCAGUUGUAUAUUUUGUUGGAUUUCAAGGAGGAAGAGGUGAAAAGUUCUAUACUGACCUCUCACAGGUGAGGAUGUGGCUGAGCCAAUGACUGAAGAUAUCUGAAGGAAGAUACUAACCAGAUGAACAGGUAUCUCCGAAGUGUCUCAGUGGGAGCAAGAAAAAUGGCCACAGCAAGGUUGGCUGAAGGGUUGGAGAGACUGAACACUGUCAGGCUUAAGGGCUGUCAAACAGUGUACUUGGAACAAAGUGCAAAGUGAGUGAGGAGACUUCUCUACCGAACCCUACUUAACUGGUGCCUGUAAAUACUUGGACUAAAACGGACACAUUCUAAGGCAUGAAGGAACUUUAGCCACUAUUAGUUUGUAGGUACAUAAGAGAUUCAGCUCACAGGUCAAGAAAGUGUUUCACCAUAUGAUGUCUUUUGUAUGGUAAGCUAUUUAAAGUAUAGAAUACAAGCAAUACAAUUAUAAGGAAAAUUUUCUGACUUUUAUUAUAGCAUUUUGCCCCAUGCUCUUCAACAUAUUUAUACACUUUUUAAUGUUGUCAUUUCAUAUAAAAAUUUUGUUAUGCCGCCGAGCAGAUUAGGAGCGCCUUGAGGGAAGGGAUUCUAUCCUAUGCAACCAAUGUGGAAUUCUGGGUGUUUGGUAAGUGCUCAUCAAAUACUUCAUGGAACAUUGAAUAUUGUGGACCUUGUACUUUAUGCUCCUAACUCCAGGUCCAAGAUAGGACUGGCUUCUGUGGAAAGUACCACCCCUGUACCUUAUGUCAGACUAUGACAAAAUAUCCCUGGGAAGCCCCCAGAAGUUUAUCUGGUUGCUUUCUGUUGUUGCCAUCACUUGAGUGACAUGUGGGUCUCCAGAGAGAGACUUUGCCUUCUCCUUUUCUCACAGAGCAACAUGCUCACUGUUGGCUGAAGGAUAUGUAUGUUUUAUGGAGAGCAGAUUAAGUUACACAUAGGCAUUGUCUUCACUACUCACAGCACCAGGCACUGCUUUGGGACAACAAGCAGUCUCUUGACUGCCACCACGGGUGGGAUCCUUCGUAGCUCAAAGCUUUGACUCCCAACCUGUCCUAAUAAUCUGUCUUGCUUGUGCCAUUUGGUGUUGAGAUCCCUGAUUUCUGAAGGCAUAAAGUAACUUUUGCCCAGGAUUUGACUUUCUCUCCUUCUAACCACUAGAGCCCACACCAGCCAAUCUCCUGAAGUGCUAUUGUGUCAGGCUUGAAAUGGAGGCUCAAUAUUAUUUGCUGCUUUAGCAUGUUAUAAAGUCCAGAGGCUCCCCGGUGGCCUAACUGCAAGUUCCCAUCCCUUGUCUCUUCAUGCGGAUGUCUCUUAGCCAAACAGCCCUCCUCAUCAUGGGGACCAGGCACACCACCUGUUUAUCAUUCAUCGUGUGUAGGAUUCAGUUCCCUGUCAGCCCACAGAAUUACUCAAACAAGCCAAUCACAUCCUUCUUGGGAGCCAGGGGGCACCUCACUGUCUUGAUACUACAAAGUUUGCUUCCCACAGCCGCCACUUGUUCACCCUGACCUCAAGUGCAACCCUCAUGUGACUCUGUGUGGCAUGGAGUGUCCUCCUCCCCCAAGCUAAGUAUAUAUGACCAAUAAACUGCUGUUGAUCUCG